rnacentral:rRNA from 1 species
UACGGAGGGUGCAAGCGUUAUCCGGAUUUACUGGGUUUAAAGGGUGUGUAGGCGGGCUUUUAAGUCAGUGGUGAAAUCUCCGGGCUCAACCUGGAAACUGCCAUUGAUACUAUUAGUCUUGAAUAUUGUUGAGGUAGGCGGAAUAAGUCAUGUAGCGGUGAAAUGCAUAGAUAUGACUUAGAACACCAAUUGCGCAGGCAGCUUACUAAGCAAUGAUUGACGCUGAGGCACGAAAGCGUGGGGAUCAAACAGG